UACGGAGGGGGCAAGCGUUGUUCGGAGUCACUGGGCGUAAAGGGCGCGUAGGCGGUGCGUAAAGUCAGGCGUGAAAGCCCCGGGCUUAACCUGGGAAUUGCGCUUGAUACUGACGUGCUAGAGAACGGGAGAGGAUGGCGGAAUUCCCAGUGUAGAGGUGAAAUUCGUAGAUAUUGGGAAGAACACCGGUGGCGAAGGCGGCCCUCUGGACCGUUUCUGACGCUGAGGCGCGAAAGCGUGGGGAGCAAACAGG
rnacentral:rRNA from 1 species